rnacentral:misc_RNA from 1 species
AUAAUCCAGACAGAAGUAGCUGGCUCCAUGAGCGAGGUAAAUGAUCUUGACUUGGAUUAUUAUCAGCCAAAAAAUUUGAAGAUCCAUAGAAAUGUUGAGUCGUGGUCGUAGAAGAAGAAAGUUCAUGAGAUUCAUGUGGAUGCAUGCUUGUGUUCAUCAACAUGUUGUUCCACCAGUUAUUACUUCAAUGCAAUUCAUUGGAUGAUUUACAGCUUGGAAGUAGGCGGUUAUUGUACUUUGGACCUCGCUUUUCCCAUGGGCAAAACUUCAA